AUGUCCAACAUCAAUAAUCCAAACUACAGUACCUCCAACCUUGCCAAUCGGGUCAUGCAGUCCCAGCAGGGAUCACUAAGCCAGGCUUUACAGCAGGCCGGCAAUAGACCAGCACCCUCAAGACAUCAGACUCUUCCUCAGCAAGUAAGGAAAUUAAAUAAGAGUAACAAUGCACCAUUCAGACCAAGCCCUGGUCUUUCCUCAGUGCAAAAAAGCAGCGCCCACCAACCAUCUGCUCAGGAUGACAGACAUCCUGUCCGACACAGAAAGAGGGGAAAUUCAUUAAUCAGGGAAAUGCUGCUCGACUCUAAAAAGGCACUAGAUCAUUUUUUUGAGACCAGCACAAAGAGAGCAAAAAGCACCCAUGACAAAGAGUCCAGUGAGUCAUGCACAAGUGAGUAUGACAAGGAGGUCAGGGACGUUGUGUUGGCUCUGGAAAAAGCUUGCGGGGAGAACUCGAGCCCGGCCGAUUCUGCCCGACAUGCAAGCACUGAGGACGAGAACAGUAAACUAAAGGAACCAGAGGAACCUAUAAAGGAGUACACGCUGUCAGAUUUGAAGGACAUGGUGAACAAGCUUGAACAAGAAUCACAAAAAGAGCCUCUGGAGAAGAACUGUGAUUUCCUGGCUACUUUACUUGAGCUGUUCUGGGGCGGCAAUAGGAGGAACUUCACAAUGACUGAAAAAGCAGGCACGUUCAGCAAUAUCUUGCGAGAGGCGCGUGACUUUCCAAAAGUGACAGAUCCGGUGCUGUAUUACAGCAACGCUUCUGAGAAAUACCACGCUCUGGAGACUGACCGUGUUUUCAAAGAGGAGGUGUUUACAUCCUCAUGGAGGUAUGUCAUCGAUGCGCCUGUGCACCCGUGUAAACGCACCGAUGAUGUUCAAGAUGCCACUGACACAGAGUCCCUCAUAACUGGAACCAGUGAUGACCAGACAGUUCUGAAAGGAUCUCAUCCUGUGGGCAACACCAAAGAAGCUCAGAAUCCACGUGAAACCAAGCAAGACUUGCCGGAGGACAACGAUGACAGCAUGCUGUCAAUAAAGAUUACGGUUUUGUCACCCGAAGAAGCGCUUACAAUCUAUAGUACUGCUCACUGCUCAAACCAAAGUCGUGUUGCUGACCGGGACAAACAGAAAAACAGCCCCAGUGACCCUGGAAUGCCUUUGGGUGUCACUGUGAUGUCAUCUGUAGAUGCAAAGAGGUUUUUUGAGCUGUUAAAGGACCAAGAUGGGUGUGCAGUUUUACACGAUGCACCAAAAAUUGAGACUUCUGAAAACAAAGAUCCGGAACCCAUGGAGACUGGAUCAUCUGCAUGUCUUUCUGUGGCUAAGGACCUGAUGGAGAAUAGCACUUAUGUGAGCCAAAAGCUAAAUGCAAGCAGACCGUCCACAGGUGGGGAGGAACUUGAGAUGGUCUCAGGUGAACCUCAUUCAGUUUUGUCAUCAGACUCCGAGACAGUGCAUACAGUCAAUUCAAUAAUGCAGACUUCCUGUCCAAAAGAGGAGCAAUGUUCAGAACUCCUGAUCUCUGAAACUCAGCCCACGUCUCCAGGUAAAACUGACUUUGAUCAGGCUCCCUGCAGGAUCUCUCUGAACCAAGAUGAUCCGAUGCACUCCAUACAGCCUCCUGCCACAAGUUCCAAGGGAAACUGUCCCACUCAGACAAGUCCACUGAGGUCCCUGGCUGGUCAGACGGAGAGUGCUGAGACUCAGGAGUUGGAUGGAGAACAUGGAGACCAGGCUUUGUUACCGGAAACCAUGUCACUGGAGUUUGGCAAUGAGUUGCAUGAGAACCCAAGGAUAUGGAGCACCCCAGGGUCCACACAUGAUGUCACCUCACCACAGCCAGAGCCAGAUUCUGACAAAUCUAAUGAUGGCUCAAAAAGCCAUGUAAAGGCCACUGACUUUACAGACCUUAACAGAAAACGAGUGGAGGUCAACAAUCGGCAAGACACCUUGGACUACUCGCCAAAUAAAAAAAAACUAAAGACAACUCAACCAACCAUGAACAAGACUCACCAAAUCAACGAAAAUGUCAUGUUAAAGUUGUAUGGAUCACAAAAGAAGGACCAGACAUUGUCGGAAUACAGAAUUUAUAACCAUGUCUCGCCCCUGACGCUUAAAGUCAGGUACCCCCCAGAGACCUCGGCGAAGGAGAAGGUGAUGAGCACCUGGAGAAGUGCAUUUGUGCCGCCCAAGUCACGUAAGCGAGCCGGUCAGAAACAACACAGUCACAAAGUGCUUCGGAAACAAAAAAAAUGGAUGAAGAUUGAGCGAAAGGGAAUUCCAAGGAUGCAUCAGGAUUUCAAUCCGAAACUGUUUUUGUUUUAA
rnacentral:lncRNA from 1 species